CACGUAGGAGGCGAGCGUUGUCCGGAAUCAUUGGGCGUAAAGAGCGCGCAGGCGGCUUGGCAAGUCGGGUGUGAAAUCCCGGGGCUCAACCCCGGGACUGCAUUCGAUACUGUCAGGCUAGAGGUAGGUAGGGGAGAUCGGAAUUCCUGGUGUAGCGGUGAAAUGCGCAGAUAUCAGGAGGAACACCGGUGGCGAAGGCGGAUCUCUGGGCCUUACCUGACGCUGAGGAGCGAAAGCAUGGGGAGCAAACAGG
rnacentral:rRNA from 1 species